rnacentral:rRNA from 1 species
CCUACGGGUGGCAGCAGUGGGGAAUAUUGGACAAUGGGGGGAACCCUGAUCCAGCCAUGCCGCGUGUGUGAAGAAGGCCCUCGGGUUGUAAAGCACUUUCAGUGAGGAAGAACGCCUGGUGGUUAAUACCCAUCAGGAAAGACAUCACUCACAGAAGAAGCACCGGCUAACUCCGUGCCAGCAGCCGCGGUAAUACGGAGGGUGCGAGCGUUAAUCGGAAUUACUGGGCGUAAAGCGCGCGUAGGUGGCUUGAUAAGCCGGUUGUGAAAGCCCCGGGCUCAACCUGGGAACGGCAUCCGGAACUGUCGAGCUAGAGUGCAGGAGAGGAGGGUAGAAUUCCAGGUGUAGCGGUGAAAUGCGUAGAGAUCGGGAGGAAUACCAGUGGCGAAGGCGGCCUUCUGGACUGCCACUGACGCUGAGGUGCGAAAGCGUGGGUAGCAAACAGGAUUAGAUACCCUUGUAGUC